GGCGGCAGAACCAAGAGCCCACGGAACAGACUUUCGGAAGCUGGGGUCAGAGAGAACCUAGGCCAACAACAGUCACAUAGAAGACCCAGCUGGCCUUCCUUCCAGCCCAAGCAGGAAAAACCUGGAAAAGAAGUGAAGGUUCUGACCCCAUGCAAGGGCAAGCUAAAGAGGCUUCUGAACGGGGGCUGGAGAUACCAAAGAGCAAGUAAGCUUCUUGUAUCCAACUAGUGAUGCAUUCUGCAGUCAAGAAAUUUAACUCAGAAAAGGAAAUCCAGUGAGAUGGUUCACUAGGUAAAUAAAAGUACUUGCUGUUAAGCCUGACCUUCAUUCCAACCCGUGGGACCCACAAGAUAGAAGACUCCCCAACAACUUAAUCUCUGACCACCCCCACCCCCAACCCCAACCCCACUGUGGCAUCUGCGCUUCUCACGAUAAAUAAAGGUAAAAAUAAAUAAAUAAAAGAUUUUGUUUGGA
rnacentral:lncRNA from 1 species